rnacentral:rRNA from 1 species
GACGUAGGGCGCGAGCGUUGUCCGGAUUUAUUGGGCGUAAAGAGCGUGUAGGCGGCUAGGUAGGUCCGUUGUGAAAACUCGAGGCUCAACCUCGAGACGCCGGUGGAAACCAUCUAACUAGAGUCCGGAAGAGGAGAGUGGAAUUCCUGGUGUAGCGGUGAAAUGCGCAGAUAUCAGGAGGAACACCAGUGGCGAAGGCGCCGCUCUGGGCCGUAACUGACGCUGAGAAGCGAAAGCGUGGGGAGCAAACAGG